GCGCCGGUAGCUCAGGGGACAGAGCAGCUGACUACGGAUCAGCAGGUCGGGGGUUCGAAUCCUCCCCGGCGCGCAA
rnacentral:tRNA from 1 species